rnacentral:rRNA from 1 species
GACAGAGGUGGCUAGCGUUGUUCGGUGUCACUGGGCUUAGAGCGUGUGUAGGUGGAAAGGUACGCGUCUUGUGAAAUCCCCCGGCUCAACCGGGGAAUUGCUUGACGAACCGCCUUUCUUGAGGCAAGUAGGGGUGCGCGGAACUCUUGGUGGAGCGGUGGAAUGCGUAGAUAUCAAGAGGAACGCCGGAGGUGAAGACGGUGCACUGGGCUUGUCCUGACACUGAGACACGAAAGCGUGGGGAG